rnacentral:lncRNA from 1 species
UCACCCUCUCUAGGUGCAUAGGCAGGAAACAAGCUCCAAACCUGACUGUAAUUUAGCAUUCAUUUGCAUUUUUAAAUUAGUUAGGCUGUGGACCGUUGCAAAGAAAUGACAGAGAAUUUUUAUAAUAAUUAGCCUUGUGGGAUGGGUUGGGGAGAGGGGGCAGGAAUGGCUCUGCCUCACCAUUUCACUGGAAGGAAAAACAAAAUUCAGCAUCUCAAGUCACCAGAUCUGAUUAUGAUUUCCCGGUCCUCACUGACCUUGUGGACCAUGGCCGUGUCUCCAAAAUCUCAGCUGAACACUCAGGAUGGCACGGCGAGAAGGCUCUCUCACCAGAUGCCAGCCCCUCAGCCUUGGACUUCCUAACCACCAGAACUGGCAACCCGUUUCCAUGAAAACAGGACAGUGAGUAGUAGGAAGAAGAGUAUCAGUGGUGAUCUUUACCAUCAUUUAUCGGGAGCAAACUUGAAUUAGUUUCUUUGGGAGGAAAACUUCCUCUGAAGACUACAAGGAAGCGGAAGAUAGUACAGUCACUCAGGCAGUCCAAGGCAGGCAUGAGAUGGCCUUGUAAGAGAACACUGCCUCCUUGAAGACUGCCAUAAGCCAUGAGGAAUGUCUUCUAAAUC